GUGUGUAUGAGCUUUCUCUGCAGGAAGGAUGAGCUGCUCCAGAGGAUCAUCAGAGGCAGGUAGCUGCAUCUGGCUGAGUGGGACUCUAGCUUGGAUGAGGCCAUGGCCAGUGUGGAGCACAGGUAGCCCCCCCUGCUGCAUGUUGAAUGGAUGGAGGAGCUGCUGAUCCAGAGAACCAUAUGCAUAUGUGUACACUCCCCAGCAGCCGUGUGUGUACUUCAUAGGAGUGGAAGAUCUGCGGGGGGGGGGGGGGGGACCUCAAGAACUCAUCAAUCACAGUGGUCACGUGCCUGUAGGCCUGCUGAAGCAGAGAUGGAACACCUGUCAACGCUUCUCCUUCAAAAGAUGGAUACUGCAUCGAGCAUAACAUCACUAUUUAUGCAGGAUGGAGCUGAUCAAGAGGAUCAUGAGAAGAUGCAUGUUAGCCUGUAUUGCUCAAUGUUUCUGCAUUGAAGGA